rnacentral:rRNA from 1 species
GACGAACGCUGGCGGCGUGCCUAAUACAUGCAAGUAGAGCGCAGUUGCGAACGGGUGAGUAAUACGAAGGUAACUGCAUCAUAGCGGGGGAUAACUAAUGGAACCGAUAGCUAGUACCGCAUCCUGUGAGACGGACAUGCGUUGUAUUAGCUAGUUGGUGAGGUAAAGGCUCAACAAGGAGGCGAUACAGAGCCGACCCGAGAGGGAGAUCGGCCACACUGGGACGGAGGAACGGCCCCGAACCCUACGGGAGGCAGCAGUAGGGAAUCUUUGGAAAAUGACGGAAAGCUGACCGAGCACCGCCGCGUGAGUGAAGAAGGUUUUCGGAUCUUUAAGCUCUGUUAUUAGAGAAGCGUUAACUAACCAGAAAGGGACGGCUAACUACGUGCCAGCCGCCGCGGUAAUUC